rnacentral:rRNA from 1 species
GAUGAACGCUGGCGGCGUGCCUAAUACAUGCAAGUCGAGCGAACGGACAAGAGCCUGGCUCCACGAUUGUUAGCGGCGGAGGGGUGAGUAAAACGUGGUUAACCUACCAUAAGGACUGGAUAAACUCCGGGAAACCGGAGCUAAUACCGGAUAAUAUUUUUACCCGCCGGGUUCAAAAAGGAAGGACGGACUGGACGUAUCUUAAGUAUGGACCGACGCUGCAUUAGCUAGUUGGUAAGGUAACGGCUUACCAAGGCAACUAUGCAUAGCCGACCUGGAAGUGUGCUCGGCCACACUGGAACUGAGACACGGUCCAGACUCCUACGGGAGGCAGCAGUAGGGAAUCUUCCGCAAUGGGCGAAAGCCUGACGGAGCAACGCCGCGUGAGUGAUGAAGGUCUUCGGAUCGUAAAACUCUGUUAUUAGGGAAGAACAUAUGUGUAAGUAACUGUGCACAUCUUGACGGUACCUAAUCAGAAAGCCACGGCUAACUACGUG